UCCCCCAGCAAUGGGCUAAGAGACACCUUGUUGGUGGUAGCACUCUUCCAUCAGUCAGGGGCAGAGCGGAUGGCAGCCCUUUGUUCAUCCUAGCUUGAUGCCUGGCUUCGUGGCCAAAGCUCUCUCAUGUCUAGGUCACAUAA